rnacentral:rRNA from 1 species
AUUGAACGCUGGCGGCAGGCCUAACACAUGCAAGUCGAGCGGAUUCUUUUAGCUUGCUUCCCGAUUUAUCGGCGGACGGGUGAGUAAUGCCUAGGAAUCUGCCUAUUAGUGGGGGAUAAUGUUCCGAAAGGAACGCUAAUACCGCAUACGUCCUACGGGAGAAAGUGGGGGAUCUUCGGACCUCACGCUAAUAGAUGAGCCUAGGUCGGAUUAGCUAGUUGGUGAGGUAACGGCUCACCAAGGCGACGAUCCGUAGCUGGUCUGAGAGGAUGAUCAGCCACACUGGAACUGGGACACGGUCCAGACUCCUACGGGAGGCAGCAGUGGGGAAUAUUGGACAAUGGGCGAAAGCCUGAUCCAGCCAUGCCGCGUGUGUGAAGAAGGUCUUCGGAUUGUAAAGCACUUUAAGUUGGGAGGAAGGGUUGUAAGCUAAUAUCUUGCAGCUUUGACGUUACCAACAGAAUAAGCACCGGCUAACUCUGUGCCAGCCGCCGCCGUAACAC